rnacentral:rRNA from 1 species
AACGAACGCUGGCGGCAUGCCUAACACAUGCAAGUCGAACGAGACCUUCGGGUCUAGUGGCGCACGGGUGCGUAACGCGUGGGAAUCUACCCUUGGGUUCGGAAUAACUCAGAGAAAUUUGAGCUAAUACCGGAUGAUGUCGCAAGACCAAAGAUUUAUCGCCCAAGGAUGAGCCCGCGUAGGAUUAGCUUGUUGGUGAGGUAAAAGCUCACCAAGGCGACGAUCCUUAGCUGGUCUGAGAGGAUGAUCAGCCACACUGGGACUGAGACACGGCCCAGACUCCUACGGGAGGCAGCAGUGGGGAAUAUUGGACAGUGGGCGAAAGCCUGAUCCAGCAAUGCCGCGUGAGUGAUGAAGGCCUUAGGGUUGUAAAGCUCUUUUACCCGGGAUGAUAAUGACAGUACCGGG